UGGCGGCGUGCCUAAUACAUGCAAGUCGAACGGUCUUUUCUAUGGAAGCUUGCUUCCACUGAGAAGAUAGUGGCGAACGGGUGAGUAACACGUGGGUAACCUGCCCAUAAGAGGGGGGAUAACAUCCGGAAACGGGUGCUAAUACCGCAUAGUUUUCUUGAUCGCAUGAUUGAGAAAGGAAAGACGGCCUUUGUGCUGUCGCUUAUGGAUGGACCCGCGGCGUAUUAGUUAGUUGGUGAGGUAACGGCUCACCAAGACGAUGAUACGUAGCCGACCUGAGAGGGUGAUCGGCCACAUUGGGACUGAGACACGGCCCAAACUCCUACGGGAGGCAGCAGUAGGGAAUCUUCCGCAAUGGACGAAAGUCUGACGGAGCAACGCCGCGUGAGUGAAGAAGGUUUUCGGAUCGUAAAACUCUGUUGUCAGAGAAGAACAAGUUGGAGAGUAACUGCUCCAGCCUUGACGGUAUCUGACCAGAAAGCCACGGCUAACUACGUGCCAGCAGCCGCGGUAAUACGUAGGUGGCAAGCGUUGUCCGGAUUUAUUGGGCGUAAAGCGAGCGCAGGCGGUUCCUUAAGUCUGAUGUGAAAGCCCACGGCUCAACCGUGGAAGGUCAUUGGAAACU
rnacentral:rRNA from 1 species